CUUCUUUAUAUAUUAUGGGAUCUCUGCCUUCUAAAAGGGCCUUUCUGAUAAGGAAACACUUGUAGGGUUCUAACACGGAACCAAAGAACGCUUAAAGAUCCCGGAUUGGAUCAUUUUUGUCUAAGUGUGCAAUGCAGAUGUGAGAGUAAAAAGGAAAACCAAGUCUGGGAUUGUUAAUGUGGUUUUAUUUCAAAUACUACAGGAAAGCAUACAGAAGAAUAUAAGUACAUCAGGUAUCGGUAGUGUUAGAGAGACAGGAAUAUUCCGAUGCGCAUAUAAACAUCGAAUUCGGAAUAUGGCAGCAACCCGAAUAUAGACCUCAAACAGAAUUUGGCCAGUUUAAACAAUCUAAAGCAACUAAUCUAAGCAAUCUAAUUAACAUGAAGUAAUUAUGUCCGGACAACGAGAGCUACAGUGGCGUAAUCAGGUACGGGGCAAUAAAACGUCAAGGAUUAAACAUCAUUUCCAAUUUAAAACCGUUUUGACACUUUGGAAUUCAUCCUGAUGUCUUGUAAAUACUUUGCUGUUGCUUUCAGUGCCUCUGUGUUACGAGGACAUUCCAGCAAUCCCUUGUCUUCAUAAAAGAGACAGUCCACAGCCAACACGUUGCUCCUGCUAAUAUUUCGUCUGCUCUCUGGAACGACGAAAUUCCGAUCAAACGUGUGAUGGAGCGCCACGAAAACAACAGGCCGGUUUUCUAGGAAGGAAAAGAUAACUAUAUAAUACAGUAAAAUGUACAUUUUCAGUAGAGAAGAGAGCGGUUCGUUUUUAAAGCGCCUGCCACGAAAAAGACGAACCUCUCUUAAUCCUAUGAACAAUUACCUGGUAUCUUCUCAAGCGCAGCAACGAUGUCGGUUCCAGCUCGAGAGACAAUAGGGACGAAAGCGAUGAUGACGUCGCUCUGAUCCGCAGAAAACUCUCGGCAAUUGAUACCCAGACCGCUCAAAAAGGCCUUGUGACAAUUCGUGUCAUUUCCAAUGACCAUCUUGUGGAAUCUGAUCUCUUUUGACCAUCCAAGUGAAACAGAAUUGACAAAGUGUAAGUGCAUAUACGUUUUAGAGAAGCGCAGAAAAUGGCAUAUGCUCCACUAUAACAUUUUCAUUUAUACAAUAUAUACGGUAUAAUCACCAAGACAUCAUUUUAACUCGGCAGUACAGGAAGCCUACCUUUUUGGGACCCAAAAAAAUCCAUCAAUACCUGGAAAUCAGAGAAUGGAGAUUAAAUCAAUCGAUCUUCUGUUUCCGAAAUACUCAAACCAGCCCAUCUGGCACCAUCCAGAACCAGAACCAGAACGUGGUUUCUCAGUAACAUAGCAAGCUGGGUUUUUUGUGUGUAUGUUUGAUUAACUUUAAGAGAGCCGUGCAGUAAAUAUGCAUUUCCAAGUUAAAACCAUACCGUUAUUCUGUCUUGUAAAAUCUUUGUUACAUCCAGUACAUUUAUGUCCUGAAGAAAUCUCCACUGUCCCUGGUCUUCACGAACAUCUGGAUCAAACACGUCACAUAAAAGUAUUAAAAACGUGAAAUUUUCUGCGUGGAGAUGUUUAUUCAACAUUUAUGGAAGUAGUCACAAGUUUUAUAGAUGCUCCACAACAUUAAUUGUAACUCUAAAUGGAUAAAGCGCAUGAUGUGUCAUUCUUUCAUAAAUGAAACAUUAAAAUGGCUGGAAAUUGCUGAGGUAUAAAAGGAACAAGACACACUGGAACGUGCUGCUUUUGAAAAAUAUAAGAGUAUUAUGUGGUAUAUAAAAUAACAGUUGGUGGUAACAGUAAUUCUCUUUCAUCACACUACCCCAGUGUUGAUUAUUUUCCUAUAGCAGCAUACCCCCAAAUGUCUCCACAGUCUGUGGGGAAAUUCACCUUUUUGUUCUUCGUAAUCCACUUCAUCCUGCUGCAAAAAAGUUGCGAGAUUAAGUUUAAUUGCAAACUGGAAGGCUUGUGGUGAAUGAUAUGGUAACUGUUCAACCUUUCAGAUAAAAUCACUUGUACCACAGCGCUGCUGAAUUCUCCAAUAUGCUACAGUUUACAGGUUUAUAUUAAUACACUCGUUCUCAUACGGUACGGUUUCUAUAGUAACAGCUCAGUCACGGGCGAACGUUCCACAUAAAUCCAUUAAAAAACAUGUAUCACUCUUCAUGUGGUGAAGUUUUCUGUAACAACAUGUUUAUUUAACAUGUAUGGAAGGAGUCUCCAGUGUCAGCGCUUUGUAACAGUCAGAGGUAAGACUGUAACUUUAAGUUUUCCGACAUCUUCAGGACAGAAGAGUUUACGCUUUUACUCUGUAACAUGAAAAGCUGAUUUUUUUGUUGUAUUGACUUCAAGGGAGCUUAAAAAAAAUGUCUGCUGAGGGAACGACUGUUUUCAGACCGCUAUAACGUUAAGUGAUAACUAGAACUAACUUCUUUCACAGAUGUUCCAUAACAUUACAUGUAAGUAUAAACCGAUAAAUAUACAAUGUGUCUGUCUUUAAUUAAUAAAAGGGUUACACAAGCUGCGGUAUAAGAGGAAUAAAAUACUUCAGGAUGUGCUGUUAUUGGAAAAUAAUUAACUCCAGGAUUUUAUCAGUAACGCCGCUUCAUCACACCACCCCGUCACUGAUCGGUUCCCUACAACAGCACAGCACCGUGUGUUUUAUUCCGCACAUCAGCAAUACUACUUAUGUCUGAACAAACACAUCUACACGAACUAGACUUUUAAUUCAUCAAUGAGAAUUCAUUCAUUUAAGUGAUUUGCAUAAUUAGUCCAAAGAAUGCAAUAACAGUUAUUCACCUGUAGGGAUUGUACUCUGGGGUUCGAAAACUGGACAUAAAUCCACCUCGCUGG
ensembl:lncRNA